CCUACGGGAGGCAGCAGUGAGGAAUAUUGGUCAAUGGACGAGAGUCUGAACCAGCCAAGUAGCGUGCAGGAUGACUGCCCUAUGGGUUGUAAACUUCUUUUAUAAAGGAAUAAAACGAGGCACGUGUGCCUUUUUGCAUGUACUUUAUGAAUAAGGAUCGGCUAACUCCGUGCCAGCAGCCGCGGUAAUACGGAGGAUCCGAGCGUUAUCCGGAUUUAUUGGGUUUAAAGGGAGCGUAGAUGGGUUGUUAAGUCAGUUGUGAAAGGUUGCGGCUCAACCGGAAAAUUGCAAUUGAUACUGGCAGUCUUGAGUACAGUGGAGGUAGGCGGAAUUCGUGGUGUAGCGGUGAAAUGCUUAGAUAUCACGAAGAACCCCGAUUGCGAAGGCAGCUUACUAAACUGUGACUGACAUUGAUGCUCGAAAGUGUGGGUAUCAAACAGGAUUAGAUACCCGAGUAGUC
rnacentral:rRNA from 1 species